AAUUUACAUCCGAGAUGGGGAGUGAGUGGCAGCGGUUGUCAUGGAGACCAUCUCCAGGGCCCUGGCUGCCUCCGCCUCUCGGUGCAGCCAAGAGAUCAAGAGAUUCUCGCUCCAGCUCUGCAGCUGGGGCCGGUCCGUGCCUCCCAGGCACCCUGCCCGCCUCCCCCCACCCUGGGCCGGCCCCUAGGGGCUGGGAGGGAGCAGGCACCCCCAAACGCACACCAGAGGAUGCAGACCGUUCUCCUGAGUUGGGGUGGUUUUUCAGGAUCUGUUCAGGCCCCACCUCCUCCAGGAAGUCUUCUUUGACCCCCUCCAGGCUGGGUCAGAACACCUCCGAGAAACAGGAUUCCUCACUCUUCCUUGGGAACAAGAACAAGUCGGUCUCCCCUUCUCUGAAGGUGCGGUAUGAGGAUAACAUCUCGGACCCCAGCAGCCACGGCUGCCACCCUAACUGGAUCAGCGGACACCAUGAGGAGGAUAGAGGAAAAGAAGCGCAGAGGAACCAAGCCAGAUCCCCCACUAUAUCACGAACCUCUGGAUCAAACCAUGCCUGAAACCCACCCCACCUCUGAAUUGUUCUAUGACAUGAGCCCAUAAUUCCCAUUUUGAUUAGAUUUUCUGUCUGUUGUAAUUGAGAGAGUUCAAACAGGUACAGGAAUUCACCCAACGUGGACAGUAGCUAUUUCUGGGGGGGGCAACUAAUGAGGGAACUUUCAUUCUGCAUGUACAUGUUCUAUAUUGUCUGCAGUUUUACAAUGAGCGGGCAGUGAAAUCAAGGCUGGUGUUUUCUCCUGAGCAAACAAGUUGGCUACGAGCUGGUGGCUUGAAAAACUGGGUGGGUGGUGGUGCCAGUGAUAAAGGAGGUGCGAACGGGGGGAAGGUGGCGGUUUUGACUUGGGGCACAGAGCCCCCAUGUGGGGACUUCCAGGGGCUGGUGCUCAGGAGGGACAGUCAAGGAGGGGCCAGGGGGCAGGGCCGAGGCAGGUCACAGCCCACAGCCCACGGCCAGGGCCUCGCUCACCAGUGAAGUACAUGGUGCUGCUUCCCCCAAAAUGCUCCCCAGGGGGCUGCCACUGCCUCAGUGGCCCCACUGCUGGAGCCGACGACUAAGGCCAGCUCUGAGUGGCCGAACCCAUCAAGCUGCACGAUUCUUGGAAGUGGCCUCCCAGCCACCUCCAGUUGGCACAGGUGGCAGGGACCCCUGGGGUCCAAUCGGCAGGUUGAUUCCUCAAGCGUCAGUCGAGGCUCCGAGGCCGGGGGCGAAUUACGGCAGCAACAGGCUCUCCUGUGAGGCUUUGCCCUGCUUAGAAUGACACCCCCCCGCAUCUGCGCCCUCCCCCGAGGGCCCUGAGACGCAGGCCAGGCAGCCUUCCACCUCGGUUUCACGGAGAAAGAAGUGUAGGCACAGAGAGGCCAAGCAACUUGCUCACAAUCACACAGUGCGGCAGAAUUUGCCAGAAUUUGAGCCCAGUUCUCCUGCCUCCAGACCUGGUCCCCCUUCUAUUGCCUCCUGCUGGGCUUCACAGCAGGGGUUGGGGCACGGAAUUAUUUGGGGUGAAGGUUGGCCGAUGAGGCCCUGAGAAGAUCUUGGCCCAGACUGGGGAGGCUGGGGGGCGGGGGAGGGUGCAGAGGCUCCCUGAAGGAGGGAGGGGAGGGACUCAGGCAAGGAAGCUUCUCCCAAUCCCCACGGCUGCCCUGGGGCCACCACAUGUCCUUCCCUGUGCGCUCAGCACCCAGUCUCACGUGCUAUAUUGGUCAUCACCUUGAACCCUCAAACAUCCUGUUAUCAGCCUGUUUUACAGGCAAGGAAGUGAGGUGCAGAGAGGUUAGGUAAUUUGUCCAAGGUCACACAGCUAGUUAGGAAUGUAGAUCUCUGGCCAGCUGGAGCCCAGAGCCUGUGCAAAGGCCCUGAGGCAGGACCCAGGAGCAGGGUGCACUAAAAGAACCGUCACAAGCCAGCAGGCUGGGGCCAGAAAGGAAGCAGAAAAGGCCCUUCUGAGCUUCAUCCAAAUCUUACUUUUUCAAGCAAAAGUCUCCAGCCUCCACAGGAUGUGGCUUCCUGCUCAGUGGAGCAAGACUCCAUCCAUCCUGGCCUCGGUUUCCUGUUGGGGGUGGCGGGGACGCACAGAGGCCUCUGGGGUCAGGAGAAGUGGCAGCGGCUUCAGCGGCGAAUAGUUUUUGUAAAGACCCAGCAAGUGGGGAGAGUCGGAGGCAGCGGAGGGGGGACGCCUGUUCACGGACGGACGCAGCGGGGCGAACGUUCCUGCAGGGCGCAGGGCGGCCGGGGGCGAUCGCCGGGCGCGUGCGGGCACACGCGCACACGCACACGCGCGCGCGCGCUCACGGAGCCGCCCGAGGAGCCGCCAGGACCCAAGAAGCGAAAGUGAGCAACCUCUAGUGAAAGAAACAGUCAGGCACAGACAGCGCGCGCCCGGCCCGGCCAUGGCGCGCUGGGCACACGCGGUGCGCUCCCGGCAGCCGGGCGCGUGCGCGGCGGCCCCGCGGAGGAAACGCCACCCGGGGCCGGUCCGAGGCCCGGCGGCGGCAGAGCUGGGCACCCCGCGGGCGCUCGGCACCCGCCCCGACCCCACCCCGCGGCCCCCGCGCCGAGAUGCGCCCCCAGGCCUGGCUCUGACCCAGCGCCCGGGGGGCCCUUCGCCCCGCCCCUCCCCGCCGGUGCAGGAACUGUCCCUUCCCAGCGGCCCCCAGGAGCGCCAGGACCCUGCAGGGGUCGUUGCUCAGGUGGCCUUGGCAGCAGCCGGCCUCCCGGAGAAGGAACCUCCGAGGGACCGCCCUGGGAGGCCAAGGGCCGCCGGGCUGGGGAGAAGAGCUCGCGGCAGCGGCCCUGGCGCCUCGGGAGCGCCCGCCCCCCUUCCCUUCCCAGAACCGGCUUUUCCAGCUCGGCGGCUUCGCCAGGCUUCUGGCGGGUGGGGAUUGUUUUCCCCGGGGGCUUGGGUGGGAAGAGUGAAGACAGGGAAGCUGGCUGCCCACACAGUGCUCUGCCGUCCGCGCCCCCUCCAGAGGCGCCCCAGGGACGCCGCAGCUGAAAUAAACACGGACCCCGGGCGCUGCCUUCGCAGAGGCGCAGACGCUCCACCAUCACGACGUCGGGCCUCCGCGCAAACACCAGGAGAGGCCUCGAACGUCCUGCAAGGGCUGCCGGAGUCCGGUGCGCCUGGGGCCGGUACACAGCUCCCAGGGCUCCCAAAAUGCACAGAAGGGCGUGACUUCUUCCCGUGGCGAGCAAGUCCGCGGGGGAGUUGGAAGACCCAUCCCAGACCUUGGCCCAGGGGGCGAGCUCCGGACUGCACUGCAGGGUGUCCCCCACUGAGCUGGUUCAGCCUCUGCGAGCACAUAGCUAAUGAGGCAGGGAGAAGUAAGCAAUCAUGGUGUGGCCAGGGCUCCAGGAGAGGCCCAGCCGAGAGGCCUCCCGGAGGAGGUGUCCUCCAGCGCAAAGGUGCUCCCUGCUAAGGCGGGUGCGGGAGAGUAGCUGGCCUCAGGAGGUCCCACCUCCCCGGGGCUCUUCAGAGUGCCAAGUCUCAGGUAGCCUGAGAUGAAGGGGAGGACCCCUCAGAGCCUCGGGGCUGCCUUCCACUCUGCAGGUGGAGAGCUGGGGGUCUGAGAGGUGCUGCCCAGGGUCACCCGCUCGCUAGAGUUUGGGCUGGGCCCUGGCACAGAGUAAGUGGUUAAUAAAUGGAACUGUGCAGGUUGGAAUCCAGCAAGCCAGGUCGAUCUCCAUGGACCCUCCCUCCCUCAUUUCCUACAAAGCUUUGAGUCCCUUCUACGUGGUGAUUAAGACACAAACAAGAGCCCCGUAGACAAAAACGUUAAGAUAAUUUUAGUUAUUGAUAAGUGGCGUGUUAGUGAGGGACUGAGCGAGUACAGAGAGAGCACAGUGAGCAGGGCCUCCGUGGGUGGGGGGGGGUCUCUGAGCUGAAGGAUGAGCAGGGCCCAGCCAUAGAGACAUAGAGACAGAGUAGGCCAGGCGGAGGGAAUGGCAGAUGCAAAGGCCCUGAGGCAAGAAUAUGCCUGGCGUGUAAGAAGAGCAGAAAGUCAGCUGGAGCAGAGGGAAGGAGGGGUGUGCAGGCCACGGAGAGGAGUUUGGGUCUGAUUUCAAGUACGUUCCUCCCGUGUGAUCGGUGUGGAGAGGGCAGGAACAGCUGCUGUGGGAGAACCCCCGCUGGACUGAAGUGAGCCUGGGGAGCUGCUCCAGGAUGUGCACUUGGACUGAACGCCUGCUCUUCAUUCCCCUGAGUCCUUCGGCCGCAGGGUUUUCUGGGAGGAAUCCCACGGCCAGGAGGGGCCCACUUGACAGGUGCUUCUCUGAAGGAUGGAAAAAUCGAUGCCCGCAGAAGAGCGGGCUCAUGGAAGGUACGGACAGCGCAGUGAGAAGACCCAGGUCCCGGGGGAGGCAGGCGCCCGGGGGCCUGCCGGCCUGGCGCUGGCUGUUCCCCGGCUCCCAGAACAAACUCAGAGGCGGGCGUGGGCAGCCCGGAAGCCAGCGAUGUGGUUUUGUCUUUUAAGAUUUUUGUUCUGAUUACAAAAGCUGUAUAUGUUAACGUAGAAAAUAAAAAUUACUGAAUCCAUCCCCAGAGGUAACCUCCCUGCCAACGUGUGUAGUAAACCCUUCCAGCCUCUGCACAUCGAAUGCACUUUUUAUUUUUGCAAAAAUAGGACAUGCUCAGCUGCUUUUUUCAAAUUCAACUCUCUGCCACCAACAUCUCUCUGUGCCGUUUCCUGGCGCAACAUCAUUGUGUCUGAUGGCUGCACCACGAGUCGUCCUGGUGGAUGGUGGAGGCCCCACAAAGGCCUUGGAGUCAGCGUCUCGGCCCCUUGGCUGUGUGACCUCAGGCAGGUGGCCUGCACCCUCUGGCCUCCCUGGUCCUCCUCUGCGUGAUGGGGUACUGAUGCCUGCCCUACAGCCUGGUGGCGAGGAUUACAGGAGGAAAGAGGCAGAAAUCACGCAGUCCACGCAGAGCACAUCGAAGGCAUUCCAUCAGUGAUGGCUAUUAUUAUUUUUUGUCUGUAUUGUUAUACAGCUAAACCAUCAUUCUUUAGCCAGUCCUCUGUUAAGGAACAUUUAGGUUGUUUAUUCGGUUUCCCUUCAAGAAGAAGGCAUCAGUGGAUAUCCUUGCCAAGAAAUCUUUGACAAAUCCUCAAUGAUUAAUUUUGAGUGUUUUCUAGGAGGAGAGCGAUGCGCCCUGGGAAAGGUACGCACGUUUUAGGACCAGUUUGUUCUAGAUACCACACACUGCCCUCCGGAAAUGUCCUGGUGAUGCUCUGUGAGUUUCCUGGGCUGCCAUAACAAACUGCCACAACCGGGGUGGCUUCAACAACAGAAAUUUCUUCUCACGCAGUUCUGGAGGCCAGAUCCAAAAUCGGGUGAUGGCAGGGCCACGCUCCCCCUGAAGACCCUGGGGGAGAAUCCUUCCUCGCCUCUCACAGCUUCUGCCAGCAGCCCGCAUUCCUUGGCUUGUAGCCCCAUCGCUGAGGUCUCUGCCCCUGUGCUCACAUCGUCUCCUCCUGUCGUCUUCUCCCCUGUGUGUCUCUUACUGUCAUAUGAUCCAGGAUGACCUCCUCCUCUCAAGAUCCUCAAUUUAAUCACGCUGGCAAAGAUUCUUUUGCCAAAUGAGGUACCGUUCCUGGGUUCUGGGGGUUGGGACGUGAUCAUGUCCUUACUCCUGCUGAGGAAGGAGGGUCGUGUUGAAUUCCUUUUUCCCUCACUGCACAGCACAGUCUCAUCUUUUUGAAAUGUCUGGCCAAUUUGGUAGGGUAAAAAUGAUCUCUUGUUUUAAAGUGCAUUUCUUUAGCUGUUAAUGAAGAGGGACGAUUUUCGUGGGCUUGUGGGUCGUUUGUAUUUCUCAUUUUCUUACUGAUUCGUGUCCUUUGUCCAAUUCGCUAUUAGGUGUCAUUGUCUUCCUCUGGGUGUGCAAGAGCUCUUUGUAGAUUAGGGAUGUUGAAUCUUUAUUAUAGCUUGUAAAUAUCUUCCUAAUGGGUCACUUGCUUUUUAGGUUUUUUCAUAGUUCUUCAACGUAUAUAACUUUUCAACUUUUCUGUAGUCAAAGCUUUGAGAGGAUUUUUCCAUCAGUCGAAUAAUUAAACAGGCUUUUCCCAGUCACAUUAUUUUCAUCUAGCGCUUUAACAGUUUCACUUUUAUAUUUAAGUUUUUGCUCUGUCUGCAGUUUAUUUUAGUUGUGGUGUAUGUUAAGGCUAAUUGCCUCCCCCACUAAUUAUUGAACAGCUGUCGAUGCCAUUUAAUAAUAGUCCACAUUUUCCCAAUUGAUUUUAAAUGAUACCUUCAUAAUAUAUUCAAUUUGACUUCUUGCUCCGAUAACGUAGCAGACUGAGGAAUGUGGCCUCCUCCUGCUGAGCAACGUCAACCAAACUUUGCAACAACAACAAAAGUAAUUAAUCUUGAAAGAAAGAAGGAAUGGGAGAUGCCCAGGUGCUGGAAGAUGGGAGGGAAAAACCAGAACCGGAAGCUAUUCCAUGACUGAGGACCCCAAAAAGGCAAGAUCCUCAGUGAAGAGAGCUCACAGCUGAAAAUAGAGACCACAGGCUGGAACGAUCUACCACGAGGGAGAGUCAGCAGACAAAACAAGAAGGGUCAGUCCUCAAGAAACUGAGAUAACAGCACAGCCCAAAAGAGACUACAACAUGAAUGCUUUAAAUUAUUUUUAAAAAAUUAAAAACGCGUAAGAAAAUUAAAAGACACCGUGGAAAAAGAAGAGGCAGACGUGAAGGAAAAACAAGGAUCUAAAAGUGAAAAAUGCAGUUGUUGAAGUUAACAUUUCAACGAAUGGGUCGAAUAGCAGAUUAGACACAGCUGGAGAAAUGUUCACACACUGAAAGACGGAACUGAGGAAAUUACCCAGCAUGCGGUCAACAAAGAUAGAGAAACAGAAUGAAAAUAAAAACUAACAAAAUAGAGUAAGAAAGUCCAACCCACGCCUCAGAGAGGACCUGAAAGGACACACACUAGGGAGAGAAUGGAGGGGAGAGAUAUUCAACGUGAUAAUGUCUGAGAAGAUUCCGGAAGUGAUGAAAGACACAACUCCUUAGAUUUAAGAAGUGGGUCAGUCCCAAGAAGGAUGAAUAACAGUGAGUCUGCACCUAGAUAUAUGUACCAAAGACAAAGAAAGUGACUUAGAGCAACCAGAAGGAGAGACCAGAUUACCUCAUGCCCGUCGUAAAAGCAUAGUGUUCCAACACUUUAUACGUUAGCUCUUUAAGUCUUCAGAAUAACUCUCUUAGUAUUCUUAUUAUCCACAUUUUAAGGAUUGAAAAAUCAAGGCACAGAAAGUUUAAGUGAUCUUCAUUACUUCAUGCUACUUAAGUAAUUUUGGUUGCGACCAUGGCCCCUGAGGAGUCAUGCUUCCUCAUGACCACACCCUUGUGUGGUGCGACUUCACUGCUCCUCCCCAAGAGGACACUCUUGCUGUGAAGGAGAGGCCACUCUCCUCCCGCCUUGAGUCUAGACUGGCCUCGAGACUUGCUUUGACCAAUGGAAUGCAGCAGAGAUGAUGCUGUGUGGCUUCCAAAGCCAGGCCUUAAGGAGCCUUGUAGUUUCCACUUUUGCAUCUUAGAUCACUUCCAUCAUUGCGUCAAGAAGCCCAACACAGACUUCUGGUGGAAGAGAAGCAAGAUGACCCACCUGACAGCCAGCAUCAACUGCCAGGCUUUGAGCGAGGCCGUCCUGAACCCUCCACCCAGUCAAGCCCCAGAUGAGAGCAGCCACACGAGUGACUCAAGGCCAGACAAGCGCACACAGCAGAACCGUGAGCCGCAGCUCACCGGGCACAGAAUUACACAGUGAUGGCUGACAGGGCCGGGACUGGGACCCAGGCAGGCCAGGACUCCAGAACAGGCACCUUCACCAUGAUGCCAUGGCAAAAGCCAUCAGCAACAAUGGAGACCAGAAGACAAUGCAACCUUAAAUCUUCAAGACGAUGGAAGAAAAUGUUUGUCAACUUAAGCUGCCUUUCAGCUAAACCGUCUUUCAAGAGUAAGAGCAAAAUAAAGACAUUUCAGACAAACACAGAAACUUCACCACUCACAGAGCUUCGCUGAAAGAACUCAUAAAAGAUUACCUUAGGAAGAAGGUGGUCAAGCCCAGUAUCAAGUAUGUGAUGAACAAUGAGCAAAGAUUUUUAAAAGGUAAAACCUAAAUAAAUGUUGGCUGUAAAAAUCGGUGAUAAUAAUGACAAACAUACCCUCAAAACAAGAUGGAACUAAAAUAUGAGGCAAUCACACAUGGUGAUGACUUUCCAAGGGGUUAAGUCACCUACGACCUCGUCCUGUCCAGGAGGACGGUGGAGGACACGGAUUUAGAUUGUAAGUCAAUUAUGCAUGAUAAGAAUUUAAAGAUAACCUCCAACAGGAAGAAAUGGAAUGUAUAACUUUCAAACCAAUAUAGGGAAAAGGGAAAUAAAGAAAACACUAUCAGCCCAAUAAAAAGCAAAAAAGAGGAGGGAAAGAAGAAAACGAUUGACUUUUUGUGUUUUUAUUCUAUAACUGACCACUUUUGUAGAAUUCUCCUAUUACUUAAUAGUUUUUCACUUCCUUCCCUUGGGUUUUCAAGUAGACAAUUAUAUUAUCCACAAAUAAGGAUAAUUUUGUCCCCUUUUUAGCGGUUGUCCUUUAUGUUUCUUGUCUUCUUGCAUUGUCUAGGACUUUCAGAGCCAUGUCACACUAUAGGGGCAUUAUCAAGCAUCCUCACCUUAUUCUGGAUCUUGGUAAGAAUGCUUCCAAUAUUUUACCAUUCAAUUUGAUGUUGGCUGUGAGAUGGAUAUUCUUUGUCAUGGAAUUAGUCAGGAUAAGCUAGAGUAUGCUGCCGUAACAAAUAAUGUCAAAAUCUCACGGCUUGAGUGAGGUUUAUUUCUUGUUCAUGUUAAGUCCAGGCAGUUCUCUCUCAGUUACGGCUGUGAUUGGCUCAGCAUUGCACCUCCACAUCCGGGAAUGCUCCCCUGCUCGCUGAGGCGAGGGAAAGAGAAUCGGAGAGUCUCGUACCAGGAAUUAAGUGCUUCUAUGUAGACAUGGCACACAUUACUUCAGCUCGUGUUGAUGUCACAUGGUCCUGCCUAACCCCAGUGGAAAGUGCGUCCCCAGCCUGGAAAGAUCGGCAGACAUUGCAGAUGUCACGCUAACCGAGUUAAGGAAGCAUCCUUUCAUUGCCGAUUUUACACUUGGGACCCUGGAAGACCCUAAAAGUCAACUUGAAAAGUCACUGGGGCCUUGGCUGUCUGACGACUAGCGGAGGAGGCUGGUGUGACAAGAAAGGCGAGGUGACGCAUUCGCAGGCCCUGACGACGCCUGCCUCCACCGGCGCCUUUAAUCGUGUGGAGGCCCUGAAUCCUUGUAAGCCAUCCCCCCCUUUCCUGAGCAGAUUUCUGCUUCUUGAGGCCACACAGUCUCAACCAGGAUCAUUUGCUGAUGUUUUCUUUGGGAUUUUUAUCAGAUUCCUAAGCAAGACUGGUCUGUAGUUUUGUGCUAUCUGCCUAUUCUUGGUUUUAGGGUGAUGCUGUGUUCUUAAGAUAGUCGGGGAAACUUUCCGUCUUUCCUGUGUCCUGAAACAGAAUGUUUGAAAUAUCUGAAUAUUGGCCAGAAGUGUCAGGACCCAACCGUUGUCCAGGAGGUAGCGCCUUCCUUCCUUUUCCAGUUUACCCUGUAGUAGUAGGUUCUUGAGUUUUCUUCUACUUGUUAAAUUGGUUUUAGUUAUAUGUAUUUUCCUAUAAAAAUACCCACUUAUUCAUAUUUUCAAAUUCAUCAUCACAAGGCUUUACUUAAUAUAAUUUAAUUAAAAAAAUUCUUUUGUUCCCAUUGUGCAUUCAUUUCUCUCUGUUUAUUAUCUAUGGACCUCCUAGAAAUUUACCUAAUUUAUCAGACUUUCCAAAAAACCAAAAACCAAGUCAU
rnacentral:lncRNA from 1 species